UACGGGGGGAGCAAGCGUUGUUCGGAAUCACUGGGCGUAAAGGGAGUCUAGGCGGUUUGGUAAGUGGGAUGUGAAAUGCCCGGGCUCACCCCGGGACCUGCAUCCCAAACUGCUGAGCUUGAGUACAGGAGAGGGUGGGGGAAUUCCAGGUGUAGCGGUGAAAUGCGUAGAGAUCGGGAAGAACAUCGGUGGCGAAAGCGCUCUACUGGACGGUAUCUGACACUGAGGGACGAAAGCUAGGGGAGCGAAUGGG
rnacentral:rRNA from 1 species